rnacentral:rRNA from 1 species
UAGCCGUAAACGAUACUCGCUAGGUGUCGGCCACGGUGCGACCGUUGUCGGUGCCGUAGGGAAGCCGUGAAGCGAGCCACCUGGGAAGUACGGCCGCAAGGCUGAAACUUAAAGGAAUUGGCGGGGGAGCACCACAACGGGUGGAGUUUGCGGUUUAAUUGGAUUCAACGCCGGAAAUCUUACCGGGACCGACAGCAACAUGAAGGCCAGGCUGAAGACUUUGCCGGAUUAGCUGAGAGGAGGUGCAUGGCGUAGUCGUGU